UAUAAUCAUUUAUUCAUUGAUUACGUGUGUGCAUAUGAUUAUGUUCAAUACAAUAAAUUUGAUAUGUAACACAAACACACGCGGUGCAUAUUGCAUAUAGUGUUAUUACAUAUUGCAUCAUGCAAGCUCCAUGCUGUUCCACCCCACGUGGGUCACACCGCGAGGGUGAUUCUUAUUAUACAUCCAAGCUCCCAUCACUUCCACCCAUCACCGGGCGGAUAUAAGGCCGACCCAGUUUGACCUCCGACGAAUAGAUACUCAGACAGACACUCUUAUGCUCGUCUUGCUCGUGCAGAUACAUUGUCCAGGACCAGCAGGACAAGUGGGCCGCGGUCGGAACCUUCAAGACCCUCGCUGCCCAGAAUGCAACCGGCUCGAAUCUCGCCCAGGUUCGCAGGAGAGCGAGUUGGACAAGCUAGACUACUUGUCCGGGACGAGAUAGUGGAGGUUCCGAACUGUCAAAACAUCUCGUCCAACUGGUCUGGACAAGCAGGACGAGCAGUUCCGAACGCAGCAUUAAUACGGUCAGACGGUGAUCCUAUAUUACCGCCGCCCACGCCACCUUCUUUUCCAGGAUGGACGGCUGCGGGUACCAUCCAGCAUGACAAGUCUCGUAUCAUGUUUAUUUCUACUUGUGUGUAACUCUUUGGGAUAGAGAGUGAAGCCGUAAUUGUAGUUUGAAACCUGUCCACCAGUGUUUGAUAUAGGAGGUAUAACACCUUUUAUAGCGAUUUAUACAGGACAUCCAUCAUCACCUGAGGCUACCACUGACAGGAGCGCAUGGCCGCAUCCUCCUUGCACUUCCAUACACGCGGGUCCCUCCAGGCGAGCCAUUUGCCUGGUCCUCUUCCAAUCUCGAACUCCUCGACAGAUCUGCCCAAGCCAUAGCCUCCUAGGACUCCUCCACCCAAGGUUGUUUUGGGAAGAGACGAACCUGAUGAGAAGGGUCGUCCUCGGGGAAACAAGCUUGGUCCACGGAGAGCCUGAAGGUUCCGGAUUGUGCACUUUACAGGUCUUACGCCAGUCUCGGGGUGUAACCUUUGGUUGGACAUAUUCCUGACAGCUGUACCCCACGACUCGGCGUAAGGACCUAUUUCAAAAGGUAUCAAGAUGAGACUCUAAGACGGUUUUCCAAUAUAUAUAAAACCACUUUCAUGGUAGUUAUACUUGCAGAAGUGUAUAUUAGCUUACGUUAGUCUAUACUUUUAUAGGUUUAUAUUACCAAUACAUUGAAUUUCAAUAACUAAGUGUUAAUAAAAAACAUUAACUUUAACUGACAUAUCCAUCUAUGGAUUCUUUUAUUCUUUUAAGACCCUCUAGCGUCCCUCAGAAAAACCCUAGUGACCCUCAUUUGGGUCGCGACAUGAGGUUGGGAACCACUACUCUGAGCCAUGGGACAAGGUCCAGGUUUUGUUUCUAUAAAGCAAAACUAGCAGUAUCAGAACCUUCAAGACAUGUAGCUUGGCCCUUCUGUGCUGGUACUGACAUCUCCAAAUACACCUGGUGCUAGGCCAUUCUGUCUACUAACUUUCUGGUCGGACUGCCCAUAGUCACAGCCUACACUACUAAGGCAUGUGAAACUGUAUGACUUCAGUAUCCUCGCCGCAAACCCAUAUCGACGGAAGUUUCUCCUGGCAGGUCCUAAAGUCCUGGAUCUUGGUCUAGGAGACCUCUGGAGCCAGUCUUCGCUUCAUUACAUACUGCAUCUAGAGCUGCCACUAGGUUUCUCAGAUAGCAUGGCCACAUGAUCAGCAAAGUCAUUGAACUUGAUAUUGCCCCAUGUUGCUCCACGAUGGCUUUGGCUAGUAGCUCUAUCCAUAAAAUCUAUGCAGGUGUCGAAGUGUUAGUUAGAGAACACGGCCUUGUCUCUCUCCUGAGUAGACAGGUAAAGAGCCGGAGUAAUUUACAGUACUUUCAGUACAGUGUAUGGGGCUUGCUAUUAGUCCAACAGUCUUUAUCGGAAUUCCCUUAUGUCUCGAAAUCUCCUAAAGUGAUUUGUGAUGUGCCAAAUCAAACGCCUUCUUGAGGUCCUAGCGAUCGACAUUGACUCGAAGUGCUAGGUUAAGGUCCAUUAUGGAAUGGCCAAUGAAGUUCAAAGUAAAGUAACAGGUCUCUGGUACCUCAUUAAGCGAUCUCAAGAGGAAAGUAAACUUUGCCAAGAAUACUGAGCACUGUAAUGCUUCGGUAAUUGUUGCAGUCCCAAUGAUUCCCUCUCCCAGGGAAGGAUGACUAUGCCCCUUAGCAGGUCCGGGGAAUAACACUGGGCUGUCAAAUAUCUGCCUGGACGUCAUGCAGAGCUCUUGUAUUUUGGAAUCGGUAUCAAUGGUAUGAACCAUCUCAGACCUAUCGACGACAUUGUAGUGAUAUCAAGCUAUCUUCAUGAAAUAAAAGGACACUAUUAAGAUAAACCGAAGAUAAGCACCAACAAAACCAGACACAAUUGAAAAUGCAUUAUAUUACAAUAUUUGAGGGAAGAAAUAUGGCCAGACAAAAGACAAUGUUGAAAGAAAUAAUCCGUAAUGUCAAACAAGCCAGGAAGACUUUAAACCUUUUUACCCUACUACACGAAGAUUCGUGUUCCAGUAAAAAUAUUUCUGGACUCAGUUUUUUUAUUUAAGUUGCUCGUCAAAAUGAUUGAGAUGUUUCAUUAUUUUGCCAAAUUCUCAGCUAAUUUUCUAAACGAUUAAACCCGCCACAAAUGAAAUGCGAAGGUAAGUCCACAAUGGUGGCCUCAGAUAAGAGUAACGAUACCCCAUCAGUGUAAUAAAUAGCGCCCUUCAAUACAGUCACAACAUAAGAAAUAUGCGAAAAGAUUUGCAAACAAUGUAAUGUUGUGAUAUAAACUUGGGAAAGCUGCCGCUCCCCCAAGACUUCUUUUUUCACUCUCAGCCCUUCCCCUAUUAGAAACAUUCUGUAUCCAACUGAGGGCACAAGCCUUACUCAUGGUUAGCAUGCAUUGCAAAUAGCAUAAACAAGAAAAUGCCAGUAAUACAGCAUUAAAAUUAUAAUUGUAAUCUUUACAGUAUGGACACAUUAAGUUAGGACAAAUUGAUUAUGAUAUCCUUGCAAAGGACAAAAAGUUGCAGUAAUCUGUACAAGAAAUAAUCUGCAGACACGAACGGUAAUGCCACAAAUAACGGGUAAAAAAGAUGGCGGAAAGCACCGCUCUCAGUCAAAGUCCUCUUGGUGCUUCCGAGUUUCAGCUCUAAUGCCGUGCAUAUGAGGUGAAGACUGUCUCCAGGAUUGUGUUGGGUGGCAGAGCCCAUUAACCCUACCCUCGGGCAAUGCACAAUGGACACGACCAGUCACAGCAAUUUAGAUUGAUCAAUAAAUUUUUGACGUGGAGUUGAGAACAGUUUCUGGCAAGUGCGUCUAUACUGUAAAAAAGUUACCCAAUUACCUCUAUUGAGAAUUGGACAGCCAAUGUUUCUGGGACAGUCUGCCACUUAAUACCUUCAGUGAUUGCACACUUCUAGGGCGACCCUUACCAGAUUGCAUCCAUGAGUCAAAAUAAUGGACAAAAAAAAACUUUUAGAUAAAAUCAUUGGGUAAUUUUUUUUGUAAAAUUAUGGGAAAUGCAAUUAAGCUUAAAGUUAAAGUCAUGAAAAGACAAACUUCUUUUAGUCAAAUCAGGGAAUAAUCCCAUUUUAGUAAAAAAACAAAGGGGGGGGGGAUAGCGACUUUCUUAUUAAAAAUCACGCAAAGUACCUCACUGGUCAAAAUCAAAGAAAGAGAAGUGUUCCUUUAACAAAAUCUUAGGAAACAAAAUUGUCCUUGUAAUAAAAAUAUAAAAUAAUGUUUCCUUUCAGUAAAAGCAGGGAGAAAAGUAACCUUUUGGUACAAUCAAAGCAUGCAAAGUGGCAUUUUUGUUCUAAUUAUGCAAAGAAAUAUACCCAUCUUGUGAAAAUCAAGAAUAUGAAAAAAGAAAUAGAUGUGAGAGAAAAGUGCCAUUUUGGGUAAAAUCUGGGAGAAGUUGUUCUUUGGUUGGGAAAACAAAAGUGGCAUUUUGGUUAACUGUAGUAUCUGCUAUAUGUGCAUUAUCGUUUACUGGAAGAUAAUUUUCUCAGAGAAAAUUGAGCUUUUAAAUUUUAUUAAAAACACAUGUAUACAUAUGUAUUGAUACCAAAAGCAUAGAUUGUUUUUCCAUAUCAGAAACUACUAGAUAAGAUCUUGUUUUGAUUAAAAUCCUAGAUUAUAGGAUCAUAUUAAAUCAUAGCAUGGUUCAUAUAAAUUGUUUAUUGAAGUAGCAAAGAAAAAAAAGCAUUACAGUACAAUAUACAUAAGAGAUUACAUUCAAGGCACUUAAUGAUGACAAUAUUUCACAACAAAGGACAGUUAUUAAGAUCUAUUUUUAAUUUCAUGGUCCCAAAAUAAUUUCUGGUGAUACAAGUAUUUAAAAUAGUCCUUCAAGUGGGCAAUUAUCACUCCUAAAAAUGCCUAUAAAGAACACAGCAUUUAUAACUAAAUAUCUUAGUCACACAUAUAAACUACUUGGCAUGAAGUUAUGUUACCAAAUAUUUAUUGUUGAUGCUUAUAAAAUGCAUAAGAUUUUUUUUUUUUUUUUUAUAGAUUUUUUAAUAUCCUUAAUUCAUCUUCUCACAUGCUAAGUGUUUUAAUGGAUUCUCAUAUACAUUCUAGAGUAUAAAAGCUUCCCAUGCAACACUAAAUCCAUGCAAAAAUGAUCUUAUUAAUGCAAAAGUCAUGAAUCGUAGCUGAAAUAAUAUCAAAAUUAACCAUUAAACAAAAUAGUAAUAAUUGGCUCAUAGGAUUCCUAUAGCUUGAGAAGUAAUAAUUACUAUAAUUCCUAAGUCACCAUCUAGAACACACUUACAAUAAUUAAUACUUUCCUAUAUUAUGCUUAACACCCUGAUUCAUAAUGACCAUUGAUUAAGACACUCAUUAACAAACAGAAAGCAACAGAAUUACCAAAGGUCAACAUUAUUCUCCAGUGUAUUUUAUCCCUUGUAAUUGUACUGGGCAUGUCAAUCUUUUUAAUAUUUUACACAUUCUAAAAACAGAGGUUAACUCCUUCAACAUACUACUGAAAACACAAGGUUGGAUCAAUAGUUCUCACUGGAGACAGCACAAGAAAGGUAGAAAACACACAUUUUGACCCAAAUGAUACUUUAUUACUACUAAAGGAAAGUUCAAAUAUUCUUGCAGCAUUCUUUUUAAAUUUGCAUUACAUUAAAAAUCAACUAUCAAUAAUAGAAUCUUCAUUUUCACAAAUUACUUGAUAUGAUUGUUCCAUUGAGUAUUGUCAGCAGCCUAAGUAAUAUAUUAUGCUUUCAUGUGAGGACUGUGACUAAGGCAUGAAAUAUAUGAGGUAUUCUGUAUCUUACUGUUGUUAGGUAUAUUCUGCUGCUUUUCCACACAAGGCUGAGUUUUUGCAAUCACCUAAAAUCUUAAAAGAGGUACUACACCAUGCUAAGAGGUGAUUGCAAAAUUUCAAUAUGGUGCCAUUUAAGAUGAAAGAUGUAAAAAAAAAAAAAAAAAGGAAAAAUGAAAAAAAGGUCCAUUCCUGCACAAUUUUCUACUGGUAGAUUUUUUUUAACAACUCAAUUUGUUUGCGUAUAAUUAGUGAUCACUUAUCUGCAAUAUAUAAAUUUUGUAUAAAAAACUACUCAUCACAAAUCUAUUUAAUUGCAUUUUUUUUAUUUUAAACAAUUUUUAUCUAUUUAAACCUUUGUUUGGUUUGGCAUCUUUGUUUAUGCUAAUACAACAUAAUGUCCAAAGGCUUUCUAUUUGUGUUAGUAUUACAUAAAGCAUUGUACCUAAUUAUGCAACUGUGAGAAUACUGAUAUUACUUAUUGUAUAAGUACAUUCCAUAAUAUUUAUAUACCAAGUUCUGGCCAUCACAAACUUCUUAACUACAUGGCUUUGCAGAUGAAUCUUAAGAGA